GGAGCGAUGGCUCAGUGGCCUAGAGCACUAGUUGCUCUUCCAGAGAACCUGGGUUCGAUUCCCAGUUCCCACA
rnacentral:tRNA from 1 species